UGGGCUUCUUUGCUGACGAGUGGCGGACGGGUGAGUAAUGUCUGGGAAACUGCCUGAUGGAGGGGGAUAACUACUGGAAACGGUAGCUAAUACCGCAUAACGUCGCAAGACCAAAGAGGGGGACCUUCGGGCCUCUUGCCAUCGGAUGUGCCCAGAUGGGAUUAGCUAGUAGGUGGGGUAACGGCUCACCUAGGCGACGAUCCCUAGCUGGUCUGAGAGGAUGACCAGCCACACUGGAACUGAGACACGGUCCAGACUCCUACGGGAGGCAGCAGUGGGGAAUAUUGCACAAUGGGCGCAAGCCUGAUGCAGCCAUGCCGCGUGUAUGAAGAAGGCCUUCGGGUUGUAAAGUACUUUCAGCGGGGAGGAAGGGAGUAAAGUUAAUACCUUUGCUCAUUGACGUUACCCGCAGAAGAAGCACCGGCUAACUCCGUGCCAGCAGCCGCGGUAAUACGGAGGGUGCAAGCGUUAAUCGGAAUUACUGGGCGUAAAGCGCACGCAGGCGGUUUGUUAAGUCAGA
rnacentral:rRNA from 1 species